GACGUGUUGGCAAUCAGAGCUAAGAUACCAACACCGGCAGAAGCGAUCGCACCCCACCCCAACCGAAGGGAUAAUUUCGUCUUUCCAGUGGUAGCCAAGCUGUGGACAAGGGGUUGACGUUUGACUUUGCUCAGGCCUCGGAAUUUCUUCUCGCAAUCGGAAGGAAUUGGAUUUGCUGGAAUCCAGAGAGAAAUCGAGAGGAAAAGAGAAGGGGAGAUGGAUCGUAAUCUAAGCGGGUUCUUGAUAGGAUGCGUUGGCGUGGCGGUGACGCUGUGCGCUUACUCGCAGACCAUCGUCUCCACCACGCAGUGCGUCACGAUCGGCCUCCUCAUCCUCGUCUUUGGCCUCUUCGUCAAGGAAGAGGAAAGACCUAAUUCCAUCUACAGCGAGGAAUGAUAACGAGACCCACCAAAAAUCGGAGGCAGGUUCCUCUACAAGGAACCUUUUAGAGUGGUUCAAACAUCAUUCUAAAUGUACAUGUAACGAGAAGUGGAGUGCUUUUUACAGGAACAAACAAGAAGUAGAUUGUUUAACAUAUUAACAUA